rnacentral:pre_miRNA from 1 species
ACAACAACAUUCGGACCGUCGGUCUACCGAGCAAUAUCACCCGCUCGGUGGAAGAUCUUCCUUUCGUUAAGUAUU